rnacentral:miRNA from 1 species
GCGGAUAAUAUAGCCUUGCGAAGUUUGUAAUUUUCAGUCAUUUUGUAUAAGCACAGAAGUCAUGGUAUAACCAUUUCCCGUUUGUAAUCUAAAAUGACUGAAAAUUGAAAACUUCGCAAGGCUAUAUUAUCCGCAUUUU